ACAGAAACAGAAGCUCGUGAAAAUCAAAACCCCAUUGAAAAUCUUCUCCAAACUAAACCAUCUUCUCUUCGGUGUACAACAGUUGAUUAUCUUCAAAUCAUCAAAAUCGCCUUCAAAUCAGUUUCAUUCAAAUCAUCUUCUCAAUCAAUUUCAUCUUAGGGCUUCAAAUAACCUUCUCAAAUCAAUUUCAUCUUAGGGCUUCAAAUCAUCUUCUGAAAAAGAUUUAGGGUUUCAGCUCGUGAGUAGCCCAGAGCGAACAAAGGAACGUAGAACUUUCAAUGAACGCAACUUUUAGAUCGUGAUUCGGUAUUGGAUUCGCGUAUUUCAGAAGAGUCUAUGAACACAGCGGAAGCACAAAGUGUUGAGAUGCAAGUGAAAGGCAACCAUGCACUAGGGACUAAGAAAGUAAAAAAGAAUUUCCUUGGACACUUCAACAAAUUGAUCUUUGAAAAAGGAAAAUGAACUCCACAUGAAAAUUAUGGAGCUUGAGACCAACAUGAAGGAGUUAAGUUGGAAUAGGUAUGUUUUUGUAUUUCUUUGGAAGUGAUUUUCAAAUGGAUUAAAAUGUGUUUUAUAAGAGUCCAUUAUGAAUUUAAAAAUAUAAAUGUACUAAAUGAAUUAUGGCUCAGUGGACAAGAACAAUAUUCAUAGUUAUUCUUCUACUACUUAAUUUUGAAAUGUGUACCUCAAAACUCAACUCAUGCUUUUGUUCUUAUUUUAUAUUAACCAUUUUUAGUUGACAUGGCGAAGAGAUUGCCGUGUGGGCAUGAGUAUCAUGGAGAUUGCAUUGUUCCAUGGUUGAGUAGUAGAAAUUCUUGUCCUGUUUCCAGGUUUUAGCUUCCAACAGAUGAUAAAGAGUAUGAAGAAGAGAGAGCUUCAGGUUCUGGGCGCGGUGGAGCUUCCACCGUGUGAGUAUGCUCUGUUAAAUCAUUGUAAUAUAUUCCAUGCUUUCUAUCUAUCCUUUAUGGAGUUCCUUUUUAAAUUUUUUGUUCCCUGAAGAGAGGUAUAUGCAAAUAAUUGAGGCCCAAGAUUUACAAUCAACCGAGUCUCAAGCUUAUAUUCAAUUGGCACUGUUGAGGUCCAAAGAUUUACAUUGGACCAUUCUCGAGCAGACGUUCAAUUGGCACUGUUGGAUUAAGUUUGAGUCGUUAGACCUGCUUGGAUUGUGCUUUCCUAUUAAGCAUCUUAUUUCAUAAUGAUCAUGGCUCUAUGAAGCUAGAGUUAGAAUCUUGUUCAUGUAUGAACCUUCAAUUCAGUGAUCUCUUAAAAUAGAGGCGCUAGUAUUGCUUUAGAGGAAGAUAGUGAUGGUUACUUAUCAUACACACAGCAGCAGUGUUGGCUAGUAAUGGUGGUGUAUUGCAGGCACUAAAAGUUCAAGUUCGGAUAUGUAGAGACCUCUUUUAUAUUAACCAUUUAGAUUUGAACAUCUUUGUAGGAAUUUCUUUUACAUUAACCAUUUUGAGUUAGAACAUCUAUUCAGGGACCUCUCUUAUAAUAAUAUAAGUGGCUUCUUCCCGAUAAUUAAUCAUAGUUUAAGUCUCUGAGAGACGUUUACUAAUUUCAACUUAUGUCAUAAUAUAUUGGUAUAUGAGUUUGUAGGACUAAUAGAACUCAAUUUUGCUAGUACCCAUGGAGUGAACAUGUCAUGGUUGUAAAGUACUUUUUUAAACCUUGUUGUGAUAUUUGUAAACAAGUGGAUUUGAUUUAAAAUAUUUGGUAUUGAUGGAUCAUAGUAUGUAUGUAAUGAGUAAC